GCAAAAUGUGCAUCUCCAAACAAUGCACGGUUGAGAUUCGAAAAGUGAGUGCAUUGGCUUGUCUGCAACCAUCUGCAACCUACGCUUAUUCAUCAACUCCUUUCCAACCUAGAAACCUGACUCUGCAUUUGGGAACCAGCUAACAGUCAUACUCAAUAUGUUACUUUAUCACAGAGAAAAAAGAAAUCAUAAUCACAUAUAUGAAGAAACUGUUGCAGACAUAUGAUUACAACAAGAUUCAAGACAAGAUGUUGGAAGAACGCCUUUUUUCAUUUUAAAGGCUGACCUAUAUUUUUCUGUGACUGUAAUUUUAAUACACUUUUUUGCUUUUUCCGAAUAGCAUUCUUCCCUGCUAAAACCUAUGGUUAUUUACUAAAACAAAUCUAGCAGUAAUUCAAACCACCAACCUACCAA